ACUCCUACGGGAGGCAGCAGUGGGGAAUAUUGCACAAUGGGCGAAAGCCUGAUGCAGCGACGCCGCGUGAGGGAUGACGGCCUUCGGGUUGUAAACCUCUUUCAGUAGGGAAGAAGCGAAAGUGACGGUACCUGCAGAAGAAGCGCCGGCUAACUACGUGCCAGCAGCCGCGGUAAUACGUAGGGCGCAAGCGUUAUCCGGAAUUAUUGGGCGUAAAGAGCUCGUAGGCGGUUUGUCGCGUCUGCCGUGAAAGUCCGGGGCUCAACUCCGGAUCUGCGGUGGGUACGGGCAGACUAGAGUGAUGUAGGGGAGACUGGAAUUCCUGGUGUAGCGGUGAAAUGCGCAGAUAUCAGGAGGAACACCGAUGGCGAAGGCAGGUCUCUGGGCAUUAACUGACGCUGAGGAGCGAAAGCAUGGGGAGCGAACAGGAUUAGAUACCCUGGUAGUCCAUGCCGUAAACGUUGGGCACUAGGUGUGGGGGACAUUCCACGUUUUCCGUACCGUAGCUAACGCAUUAAGUGCCCCGCCUGGGGAGUACGGCCGCAAGGCUAAAACUCAAAGGAAUUGACGG
rnacentral:rRNA from 1 species